rnacentral:rRNA from 1 species
UACGUAGGGUGCAAGCGUUGUCCGGAAUUAUUGGGCGUAAAGAGCUCGUAGGCGGUCUGUCGCGUCGGUCGUGAAAACUUGGGGCUUAACCCUGAGCUUGCGGUCGAUACGGGCAUGACUGGAGUUCGGCAGGGGAGACUGGAAUUCCUGGUGUAGCGGUGAAAUGCGCAGAUAUCGGGAGGAACACCGGUGGCGAAGGCGGUUCUCUGGGCCUGUACUGACGCUGAGGAGCGAAAGCGUGGGGAGCAAACAGG